GAUUCUGAGAUUCCUUUUGUUUAUCUCUUAUAGCUUCAUUUAAUUUGGGAUAAGAAUCGAGUUCAAACUUCAACUUUAGAAAACUAGGCAUGGAUAAUUGGGUUCAAAUUAAGAAUUUAUAGAUCCAUGUUCAUUAACUAGCCACUUCUCCAAGCAGUUGUUGCAUAUGCAGCAGUAGCAAAUAAUCAUCGACACAUGGAUGCUUGAAUCUUGAUGAUAUUGAUAUGGACCUCACUCCUUUCAAGUUGGAUGCUGAUGAACUUCUAGAUGAGUUCACCGAGGGUAAUUAUACCACACUGGCAGAUAUGAAGAGGGUGUGGAUGGCCAAGAAGUUCUCUUAUAUUUAUGAGGCUAAACCUACUUCUAAUGAAGCCUUCUUUAUGCAGUCACUUUACUCCUAUUCUAUUCAAGCUACUGAUACGAUGGAUGUCGAGGAUGCAAAACACAUUAUAGAAGACAAUAAGUUGGUGGGAGACAUGGUAGAUGAUAUCGUGAAAGACUGGGAUGCUCAAAAGGAGACAUUUUAUAAGCAGACUAGCAUUAUUAUCCACAACGAAUUAGGUGGCGAUCGAUGAUUUUGAUGAGUUGGAACACCUCUUAAACGAGUGACAUACAUCUCAAUAUUGACAACCUUUGAACAUGCUUUUGCUGCCCAAAUAUUGGAGUUUCCAUUCUCCUCAGUUGACUUCUGACCUCCAGUAGAUCAAUGCUUCACGAAGAGAGACUACAUACAGUGCAGGAUUCGUCCUCAUCGACAAACAA